UACGUAGGGCGCAAGCGUUAUCCGGAAUUAUUGGGCGUAAAGAGCUCGUAGGCGGUUUGUCGCGUCUGCUGUGAAAGCCCGGGGCUCAACCCCGGGUCGGCCGUGCGAACUCCCGGGCUCGAGCACUGUAGGGGCAGGCGGAAUUCCGGGUGUAGCGGUGGAAUGCGUAGAGAUCCGGAAGAACACCGGUGGCGAAGGCGGCCUGCUGGGCAGUGGCUGACGCUGAGGCGCGACAGCGUGGGGAGCAAACAGG
rnacentral:rRNA from 1 species